GUUUAAGCCGCCGCGGUAAUACAGAGGGUGCGAGCGUUGUCCGGAAUCACUGGGCGUAAAGGGCGCGUAGGCGGCCUGAUAAGUAGGGGGUGAAAUCCUGUGGCUUAACUGCAGGGCUGCCUCCUAGACUGUUAGGCUCGAGCACGGUAGAGGCAGAUGGAAUUCCCGGUGUAGCGGUGGAAUGCGUAGAGAUCGGGAAGAACAUCGGUGGCGAAGGCGGUCUGCUGGGCCGUUGCUGACGCUGAGGCGCGACAGCGUGGGGAGCAAACAGGAUUAGAUACCCGCGUAGUCC
rnacentral:rRNA from 1 species